AUGUUCUCGUCGCAGUCCUUGAGCCGCGUCAACAACAUCCGUACUGCCUUGAUCAAUGCGCAGAAAGGGAACCAAUUGGUGGCCGCCUACUUCGCCGCCAUGUGUGGCCUUGCUGAUGAGCUCGCCACCGCCGGCAAGCCCAUCCAGGAUGAUGAGCUGAUCUCAUAUCUUCUUCACGGGCUGGAUAUGGACUACCAGCCACUCGUCUCGGCCCUGUAUGCUCGCAUCACGCUGGUGUCCCUCGAUGAGCUCUACUCCAUGUUGAGCAACUUCGACCAACGCGUCGCCCAGUACCACAUCAUUGGCGGCGGCUUCAAGUCGUCGCCAAACGCAGCAACUCACGGGCGUGGUGGCUACUCCUCACGUCACCGCGGUCGUCCUCGCGCCAAGGGCAAGCACAGUAGCGGCAACACCAACAACGGCGGCUCUCGCGGCGGUCGCCCCAUCUCCACCAACAACAUGGGUCACCGAAAACCGAUGUCCCGAACCGAAUUAACCGGCACAGAAGCCGAAUUCACCGAAACCGAGAACUUCGGUUGUAUGUCCGGUUUCCAUUUGAGGAAAACCGAAUUUAGUCCGGUGAAUUCGGGUUUAUUGCUAGGGUAA
rnacentral:rRNA from 1 species